rnacentral:rRNA from 1 species
GUGGGGAAUUUUGCGCAAUGGGGGCAACCCUGACGCAGCAACGCCGCGUGAGUGAUGAAGGCCUUUGGGUCGUAAAGCUCUGUCAGAGGGAAAGAAAUGUGGGCGACUAAUAAUUGUUCCACUUGACGGUACCCUCAAAGGAAGCACCGGCUAACUCCGUGCCAGCAGCCGCGGUAAUACGGAGGGUGCGAGCGUUGUUCGGAAUUAUUGGGCGUAAAGCGCGUGUAGGCGGCUUAUUAAGUCUGAUGUGAAAGCCCUGGGCUCAACCUGGGAAGUGCAUUGGAUACUGGUAGACUUGAGUACGGGAGAGGGCAGUGGAAUUCCCAGUGUAGGAGUGAAAUCCGUAGAUAUUGGGAGGAACACCGGUGGCGAAGGCGGCUGCCUGGACCGAUACUGACGCUGAGACGCGAAAGCGUGGGGAGCAAACAGGAUUAGAUACCCCAGUAGUCC